rnacentral:rRNA from 1 species
AGUGAACGCUGGCGGUAGGCCUAACACAUGCAAGUCGAACGGCAGCACAGGAGAGCUUGCUCUCUGGGUGGCGAGUGGCGGACGGGUGAGGAAUACAUCGGAAUCUACUUUUUCGUGGGGGAUAACGUAGGGAAACUUACGCUAAUACCGCAUACGACCUACGGGUGAAAGCAGGGGACCUUCGGGCCUUGCGCGAUUGAAUGAGCCGAUGUCGGAUUAGCUAGUUGGCGGGGUAAAGGCCCACCAAGGCGACGACCUGUAGCUGGUCUGAGAGGAUGAUCAGCCACACUGGAACUGAGACACGGUCCAGACUCCUACGGGAGGCAGCAGUGGGGAAUAUUGGACAAUGGGCGCAAGCCUGAUCCAGCCAUACCGCGUGGGUGAAGAAGGCCUUCGGGUUGUAAAGCCCUUUUGUUGGGAAAGAAAUCCAGCUGGCUAAUACCCGGUUGGGAUGACGGUACCCAAAGAAUAAGCACCGGCUAACUUCGUGCCAGCCGCCGCGGUAA